UGCUGCUGCUGCUGGCGGUCUGCAUCGCUGGACUCUUCAUCUGGAGGAGGAACAAUAACGGGUUUCGCCCUGCUAACAGGGGGCAGUGAACAUAGAAGAGGAUGCUGAACUCCACAAUUUAUCAUCUCAGAGGACUUUAUAAUCUGUACAACAUAUAUUUAGGGCCCGAGCACGAAAGUGCCAGGACCCCAACGGUGUCCUGGCACGAAAGUGCAAGGAAACCUAUUGUUUUUCUAAGUAUUA